GACGAACGCUGGCGGCGUGCCUAACACAUGCAAGUCGAACGGAAAGGCCCUGCUUUUGUGUGGUUCUCGAGUGGCGAACGGGUGAGUAACACGUGAGUAACCCUCCCUGGGCGUGGUGAUAACCUCAGGAAACUGCUGCUAAUACCGGCGAGCAGCUGCUGCUGCAUGGGGAGGUUCGGACAUCUUCGGCGGUUGUGGGUCGACUCCCGGCUUACUAGCUGGUUGGUCGGGUAGUCGCUGACCCAGGCUUCGAUGGGUAGUCGGCAUGAGAGGGGGACCAGGGUCCAUAGGCCUGAGAGAGGGACCAGACGGCAAUGGGAGGCAGCAGUGGGGAGCCUUGCACAACGGGGCGGAGUGUGAUACAGAAAUGCCGCGUGCGGGAUGACGGCCUUCUGGGUGUAAACCGCUGUCGGCUGAGACGAAGCGUGAGUGACGGUAAUGGGUAAAGAAGCACCGGCUAACUACGUG
rnacentral:rRNA from 1 species